rnacentral:rRNA from 1 species
UACAGAGGUGGCAAGCGUUGUUCGGAAUUACUGGGCGUAAAGGGCGCGUAGGCGGCCUUGUAAGUCCUGUGUGAAAUCCCCCGGCUCAACUGGGGAACUGCACAGGAGACUGCUUGGCUUGAGUUCGGGAGAGGGAAGCGGAAUUCCGGGUGUAGCGGUGAAAUGCGUAGAUAUCCGGAGGAACACCGGUGGCGAAGGCGGCUUCCUGGACCGACACUGACGCUGAGGCGCGAAAGCCAGGGGAGCAAACGGGAUUAGAAACCUAGUAGUCC